rnacentral:rRNA from 1 species
UACGGGGGGGGUAAGCGUUGUUCGGAAUUACUGGGCGUAAAGGGCUCGUAGGCGGCCAACUAAGUCGGACGUGAAAUCCCUCAGCUUAACUGGGGAACUGCGUCCGAUACUGGAUGGCUUGGAUUUGGGAGAGGGAUGCGGAAUUCCAGGUGUAGCGGUGAAAUGCGUAGAUGUCUGGAGGAACACCGGUGGCGAAGGCGGCAUUCUGGACCGACAUUGACGCUGAGGAGCGAAAGCCAGGGGAGCAAACGGG